UUUUGUAUAAUGGGUCAGCGACUUAUAUUCUGUAGCAAGGUUAACCGAAUAGGGGAGCCGAAGGGAAACCGAGUCUUAACUGGGCGUUAAGUUGCAGGGUAUAGACCCGAAACCCGGUGAUCUAGCCAUGGGCAGGUUGAAGGUUGGGUAACACUAACUGGAGGACCGAACCGACUAAUGUUGAAAAAUUAGCGGAUGACUUGUGGCUGGGGGUGAAAGGCCAAUCAAACCGGGAGAUAGCUGGUUCUCCCCGAAAGCUAUUUAGGUAGCGCCUCGUGAAUUCAUCUCCGGGGGUAGAGCACUGUUUCGGCAAGGGGGUCAUCCCGACUUACCAACCCGAUGCAAACUGCGAAUACCGGAGAAUGUUAUCACGGGAGACACACGGCGGGUGCUAACGUCCGUCGUGAAGAGGGAAACAACCCAGACCGCCAGCUAAGGUCCCAAAGUCAUGGUUAAGUGGGAAACGAUGUGGGAAGGCCCAGACAGCCAGGAUGUUGGCUUAGAAGCAGCCAUCAUUUAAAGAAAGCGUAAUAGCUCACUGGUCGAGUCGGCCUGCGCGGAAGAUGUAACGGGGCUAAACCAUG
rnacentral:rRNA from 1 species